rnacentral:rRNA from 1 species
CCUACGGGAGGCAGCAGUGGGGAAUUUUGCGCAAUGCUCGUAAGAGUGACGCAGCGACGCCGCGUGAAUGACGAAGGUCUUCGGGUCGUAAAGUUCUUUCGACAGGGAAGAAAAUGCCUAUAAGUAACUGUGUAUGUAUUGACGGUACCUGUAUAAGCAGCCCCGGCUAACUCCGUGCCAGCAGCCGCGGUAAUACGGAGGGGGCGAGCGUUGUUCGGAGGGACUGGGCGUAAAGAGCACGUAGGCGGUGUUGUAAGUCAUUAGUCAAAGACUAGAGCUCAACUUUAGUAAGGCUAGUGAUACUAUAAUACUAGAGUAGCAGAGAGGAUUGCAGAAUUCCUGGUGUAGCGGUGAAAUGCGUAGAUAUCAGGAGGAAUACCGUUAGCGAAGGCGGCAAUCUGGCUGGAAACUGACGCUGAGGUGCGAAAGCGUGGGUAGCAAACAGGAUUAGAUACCCCUGUAGUC